rnacentral:tRNA from 1 species
GCAUUGGUAGUUCAGUGGGGGAUAUUUCACCUUCCAUGCAGGAGCCCUGGGUUUGAUUCCUGGCCAGUGCA